GAUGAACGCUAGCGGCAGGCUUAAUACAUGCAAGUCGAGGGGCAGCGGGAGUAGCAAUACUUGCCGGCGACCGGCGCACGGGUGCGUAACACGUAUGUAAUCUGCCCAUCACAGGAGGAUAGCCCGGAGAAAUUCGGAUUAAUACUCCAUAAUAGAAGAUAAAGCAUUUUAUUUCUUGAAAGUUCCGACGGUGAUGGAUGAACAUGCGACUGAUUAGUUUGUUGGUGAGGUAACGGCUCACCAAGACUACGAUCAGUAGGGGUACUGAGAGGUUAAACCCCCACACUGGUACUGAGACACGGACCAGACUCCUACGGGAGGCAGCAGUAAGGAAUAUUGGACAAUGGCCGCAAGGCUGAUCCAGCCAUGCCGCGUGCAGGAAGACGGACCUAUGGUUUGCAAACUGC
rnacentral:rRNA from 1 species